rnacentral:ncRNA from 1 species
UUAAAGUACACGGGGAGCUAGUAAACCAGCUGAGAGGGAAGUGCGACUUCCGACCCACGAACCUGAUACGGAUAAUGCCGGCGUAGGAACAAUAAAGUGAAAGAUCU